AAAUUUUUAUGUUUUAAAAAAUUUAUUAUGAAUUUAUUUUACAUACAAAUUUUAGUAUGAAAUUUUAAUUAUUUUAAUAAUAAUAAGAUUUUUGUAGUAAUUAAAAUUAAAAAUUUAAGAAAUUAAGAUUUAGUAAUAUAAAAAUUAAUAACUAAUUUUGUGCCAGCAGUUGCGGUUACACAAAAAUUAAAUUAAAUUAUUUCAGUAUAUAAUUAAUAAAAUAUAAAUAAAGUAAAUAUUAAAUUAUUAGGUAAAAUUUUAAUUUAGUUAAAUUUUAAUUUAAUUUUAUGAUUUAAUAAAUUUAAUAAUAAACUAGGAUUAGAUACCCUAUUAUUAAAAAUUUAAUUUAUAAUGCUAAAAUAGUAGAUAAAAAAUAUUGAAACUUAAAUAAUAUGGCGGUAUUUUAGUUCAUUUAGAGGAAUCUGUCUAAUAAUUGAUAGUCCACGAAUAAAUUUACUUAAUUUAUAAUUUUAUAUAUCGUUGUUAAAAAAAUAUUUUUUAAUAAAAAUAAUAUUUUAAAAUUUAAAUAAGAAAUUAAUUCAGAUCAAGAUGUAGAAUAUAAUUAAGAAUAUGAUGGAUUACAAUAAAAUAAUUUAAUAUGAAUAAUUUAUUUUUAAUAUUAAUUUGAAGGUGGAUUUAAAUGUAAUUUUAAUUAAUUUAUUAAAAUGAUUAAAAAUUGAAAUAUGUACAUAUUGCCCGUCACUUUCAUUUAAAAAUUGGAAUAAGUCGUAACAAAGUAGAGGUACUGGAAAGUGUUUCUAGAAUGAA
rnacentral:ncRNA from 1 species